CACACCCCUAUGUUAAAAGAAUGUGAAGACUGAGACAAAGCACAAUGAAAGAAAAUGCACUUAGGAGUGAAACCUGCCUUAUGCCCUCUAAUUCUCCAAUAGGGCACAUCAAGAAGGAGUUAAGGAGAUCACCUGUUAUGCCUAAGUAUUGGAGAAAAUACUGUAUAAUUUACCGGAAUUCAGUUGUGUUCUUCUGGCUAGCUGACAGUGCACUUGGUGUAGGACUUCUUCCUAUUGGUGGCCUUAACUAACACAAGAGACUAUUACGUGUUUCCAGGUGCUGACGAUAACUCAGACCUGCUGAGGGAAUCAUGGUUGAUCUCAGGAAACUGCAGGUCAGAGCCCGCUCUGAGAGUGGGAGAGUUGUGUGAUUCCACCCCAAGAAAGAUGACAAUCUGAGACAUGCAGGGCCGGCUCCAGCUUUUUGGCCACCCCAAGCAUAGAAGAAAAAAAGAAAAAGAAAAACACGAUUGAGCUGUCGCCGAAGAGGAAGGGAGGGAGUGAAGGACCUGCUGCCGAAUUGCCGCUGAAGACUGAAGCGGAGCAAUAGAGUUGCUGCCGAAGUGCAGCCGAAGAGGAAGUGACGGACUGAAGGACCCGCCGCUGAAUUGCUGCCGUAGAACCGAACGUGCCGCCCCAAUAAUGUACGGAGUGCUGCCCCUUUCUAUUGGCCGCCCCAGGCACCUGUGUCCUUCGCUGGUGCCUGGAGCCCGCCCUGGAGACAUGAGAAGGAGUGUGGUCAGAGGUGGAGUUAAUCUGGGAAAGGUGACACUGAUAUUUUGACCUUUGUUUUUCUCCCAAAUCAGAACAAAAAAUCAAAGCAUCAGUAUCUGUCACAUGACAAAAUUCCAAAGCAUGGUUUCGCAGGGAAAGUCCGUAAAUGCCUUACAAUGCAUCUUACUCCUGCUUGCAGCUUCUUGGGAGACAUUACCAGAGACCUGUCAAUCAGGCAAGCUGGGUUGGCCAUGCCGGUGAACUAGUCUAUUUGAAAUGCCUCCAGCAGCUGCAGGAAGGUUCUACCAGAUCUCCUGCCUCAAGCAGCAAGAAAACAGAACAACCAAAAAGGAUACUACGACUUACCAAGAUAUUAUUUAGCCUCAGGGGGGCCCUGCAGUAGGAUUGCUGGAAACCUUCUUCUGACACACAGAUUUCUGGCUAAAGUAGCUUCCCAUGUGUGGGCAGGCCUCUCUGAUGGAACACCUCAGAGGAAUAGAGAAGUUGGCGGAAAAGGGUGGAAAAAUGCCUGGGCUAAACGGACCCUGCUUAUGCCGUGGUGAGUCAUGCCACAAGUGCCAUGAUAACUGAACCCUGCUCAUGUAAGCUGCUCAUUGGAUUGUGAAACUGAAUGACACUAGCCAAUUUCUCCGGUCCCAGAUACAACUGUAGGAACCUCUGUCUUGCAGUGUCCAGUUAUGCCGGCUGGAUGCUGCAAGCUUAUAUAAGUUUGUCAAUUUAACAGAGAAAUGGAUAUGUACCAGGCUUGUUAUCCCAAGGAGAGUUUCUGAUAUGCUUCAAACCAAAUGCACUGCUUCAGGUAGAAUAAACAAGCAGAUUUAUUAACUAUAAAGAUUUUAAGUGAUUAUAAGUCAAAGCAUAACAAGUUAGAUUUGGUCAAAUGAAAUAAAAGCAAAACAUAUUCUAAGCUGAUCUUAUCACUUUCAAUGCCCUUACAAACAUAUAUGCUUCUCACCAGAGGCUGGCUGGUUGCUUUUCAGCCAGGCUCUCCCCUUUGAUCAGCGCUUCAGUCGCUUGUUGUGGUGUCUGUAGAUGUAGGUGGAAGAGAGAGAGAGAGCAUGGCAAAUAUCUCUCCUUUUUAUCAUGUCCUUUCUUCCCUCUUGGUUUUGUCCCCACACCCUGUUUCAGAGUCAGGUGAGCAUUACCUUAUUGCAGUUCCAAACUGACCAAAGGAAGGGGGAUGACUCACUCUUUUGUUACUGUCUAGGCCAACGUCGAUUGUUCCUGUGAGGCUGGGCUGGGUUUGUCCCAUCCACACCCUGAUGAGGUGUGAACUGCCCCUCUGCUUCUGGAGAGUUUUUGUCUGGGCUUGCUUUAAGCAAUGAGGAUACAUUUUCAGCAUUAUAACUUUAUACAUAAAAUUAUAACCUAUAAUAUUAGUAUUACAUCACUAUAAAAACCAUGCUCAGUGCAUCAUAAACCUUCUGAAGACACCCAACAUGACAAACUUUGCAUUGGAUACAACACAAUCAUUUUAUAAAGAUGAACAUGGGGGUGUAAGGUGUUCCCCCAUGGUACAAAGCAUCACAGAAAGGUCUUGGAGAAAAAUCCCAACAAUGUGGUUUGACCAGUCUCCACAGUCUGGCUGUUUGCAUGCAAGAGUUAGAGAAGUCAAGCAGCCAUUUUUGUGGCCUUGUCCAAAAGUGCAGUAAUAAUUCAUUCGAUAUACCAUCGAGUCCACAUUUCAGGGUUUCCACAGCUCCUCAAUAUUGAGCUACUUGUGACUUUGCAGUCUCUGCAGAGUGAGCAAAGAUACUCCUUGACUUGUUUUGUUCUGUGCUUUGCUUUUUGGGCUGGUUUACCAUUAAGGCUGAGUUGGGUGGAACAGCACCAAUAGUGGAUGGGCAGUUGACUGAUGACCAAGUAAUUUUUUGCCCAGGAUGUUAAUGCUGUGGCCAAGUUUUAAACCUAACUCAGUACAUUUGAAUAUGGUUUUGAAACUGCAAAAUUACAGAUACUGGGUUUGUUGAUCUGUCACCUGCUUCUGACACAGUGAACCAUCAUGCACUUCCAUUGAAAUUGGCAAGAAUUUUGAGAAAUAGCAAGAUGGUCCAAGUCAUCUCCUCCCUGCUCCAGAAUCCUCAUUUCUUUGUUGAAAUGGAUGGUCAGAAACGUCAAUUGCAUACUCAGUGGAAUGGACUGCCCCAAGGUUCAGUGUUAUCACCCCUGCUCUUUAAUGUCUAUACAAAUGACCAACUAGAAUUUCCCAACAGGUAAAGUUCUUUUAUAUAGAUCUUUGCAUUGUCACCAAGUUGAAAAGAUUUGAGGACACUAAGUCUAUUCUAACUGGCUUCCUGAGUAUACUUGGCAAAUAUUCUCACACAUGAUUCCUGAAUGCCAACCUUAGCAGGACACAGGUGUGCGCCUUCCAUUUGAAACACCAUAAAGCCAAGCAAAAACUGCAAAUAUUGUGGCAUGGUACAAUCUUUGAACCAUGUGUACUUUGGGGUCACUUUAGACUGAAAGCUGACAUUCAGAGAGCACCUCAAGAAGUUGAGAAGAAAGUGAACUCCAGGAAUUGUGUACUCCAGAAAUUGGCCAACACAAAAUGGGGAGUUGACCCAAAAACACUCCAAGCAACUAAUCUCACCCUCUGUGAGUCACUGCAAAGCACUGAGCCUCCUCCCCCCCCUGCCCCCCGCCCAUCUCAGGAUGGUCUUGCUCAAGCCAUAUGCACAAAAUUGAUUGUUAAUUCAAUCAAUCCUGCAGGAUUAUCACAGGGACUUUGAACUGACUCCCACUUUGUCAUUAUGCUGCCUUUCAGGGAUUGUACCACCAUCAGUGAGGUGGGAUGCCUUCAGUAAAAAGGAGAGACAAAAACAGAUGCAUGAUUCCAGACAUCCAUAUUGCAUGGACACAUUCCCCCAGCCAAGAGGCUGAAGUCUGGAAAGAGCUUUGCCUCUGAAAAUCCCUUACCCCAAAAUAUCACUAUGGAAGGCUACAGAGUAACAAAAUUGGGUAAAUGCCGAUGAUCUCGAAGAACCUGGUUCCUUUAGAACAACUUCCUCCAAGUACUAACCUCGAAUGAAAACACUGGUGUGCUCUAAAGAAAGUGAGAGCUGGGGUGGCAAAGAAUGGUGACAAUUUGAUCAACUGGAAGCUCAGGAAUAACUCCAAAUGUGAAUGUGGAGAGCAUAGGCAAAUACUUGAACACUGCCUGAUUUAGUGCACCCUUCAACAUCCUGCACUUCCAAGACACUAUUUGAGAUAAAUUGACACCACCAGGUCUUGGAUGUGGUUUUGGAGUGACAAGCUAUGAAGGUGAUUUACUCUUUCCACUUUAACAAGGUGUGACUCUGCCCUUGUGGCAGCCUGCCUUGUUCACCCUAGGAUUCAAUGGGAUAACAUGGCUAUAUGAGGCAGUUGUUUUGUAGCACUGCUAAUCCCUGCAUUUUCCAGUGUGAAGUUAUUUACUGUUGGAAACAAGUUGGUUCUUUGUUUAAGUACCCAUUUUUCAUCCACAAAUGCAGAGAUAUCGCCAAGUUCCCAGCAAGAAUACCUGAGGGAAAUCAACAAUGUGACACGUUUUUAAAGCAAAUAAUCAUUCUUCACAUCUUUGAACUAAUAGUAAUAUGUGUACUUUAAUUCAUGUUCCUAACGUGCACAUUUUCCAGUGCUACAACUCUAGAGAAAAAUGUCUUUUAAAAAGAGCAAUGUUUAUAACACUCCUUUAAAGAGGAAUAAUAGUGCUUGCUAUAUGUCAAAGGUCCUGUUAAGACUGGAAGAGAUUUGUUUCUGCUGUAGUGAAUAAUUAAAAGCCACUUCAUGGCAUAGCCAUAUUUUUAAACUAUGUUUCACAGCCCCUUUAGGGCUAGAAAAUAAUUAUUUUAGUGUUUGAUGCAGAUGCAUUUUAAUAUUUGAUUAUGAUGUCUUAGUCAUUCCAGGUUUUGCAAAGAAUAUUUUUCAUUCAGCCUUUGAAGUUGUAAGAUUUCUUUAGCGUUUGGGGAAAAAACCCACCUUUUUAAUUUAUUAAUAGAUAUUUUAGGACUGCUCAAGGGAUGAUUUGUGUUUUGAUUAAUAUUAAGGAAUCUGUUUGGAACUUUUGAGUGUGACUAUGUGCACACGCUUGACAUUUCUGAUCUUUUGUAUAACAGGAUGCAUGUAAUUGGAUGCUCAAGAUUCAGUGAAGUUCAUUUGAAAUAUGUAUGGGAAUAUUCAAUGCUUUCCUACUUCCCAACCUACUCAUUUACUAGGUGCAAAUGAGGGCAGAAUUUUGCCCAGAGAGAGGUACUGUACCUGUAUUUGGGUUGGUCUGGCCAAUUGAAUAUCGGAGCAUGGAUAUCAAGUAUAGGCAGAGCAAAUGAUUUCAUUUCUUCAGCUUUCAACAGCGAGUGAUUUGUUAGUACAAUAUUCAAAAAGGCAGUUGCAUGCUGACCUCGUUGAUGCUCAGAAAGCUGCCACCUUCACAUCAGCUAUUCUAGUCACAUUACUUAUCUUCACUGGUCAAGAGAGACCCGCAGAUUAAAUGCCCCUAGACGGAGAUACUGCUGCGGAAACUUGCCAGUUUCUUUGUUAACACUAAUGGGAAUCCUAUACGGUAAAACAAAGGCGUGUAGAAGACACUCCUGCACUUCAUCAGCAAUAGACAGGGUCUUUUUUUGCAUUGACCACAAUACAUUUGUUCAAGAAAAAUGUGGUGUAUUAAGAAGAAAUACCUGUCAGAAAUGGAAAGAUAAGUUGGGUUUGUCAACAAUGUGGGGACCGAUUUUCAAAAGCCGUUCACUCUUACAAGUUACCUGGCUGUUAAGACAAUCAAAGUUACAAGAAUAGUAGAAUCUCGUUCUUGUAAGUGCAAGCUACAUAAAAUACAUUUAAUGGGUUGACAUUUAGCAUUAUGAAUUGAUGUGUUGAUUUAGGGUCUGGUCCAAAACCCCUUGUAGCUAAUGAAAAGGUUCCCAUUGACUCUAAUGCGCUUUGGGUCAGGCUCAUAUACAGCACUUCUACAGUGGAUGCUGCUGGGUAGAAUUGUAUGUUUGGGAUAGUAUAAAUAAAUGUUUGAGGCUGGGAUUUGGGUAUCUAAUUUCUAUAGGCUCCUUUGAAAACCUUAACCUAAAAUGCCAGUGUGUAGUUUUGGGUGACAAUACAGAUGCUGGGCUCAAGAACAUGAUGAAGGUCAUAAAACAAGCUGAGGAGAUGCAGGAAGGGUACAAUUCUUGUAUCAGAGUCAAUGGCAAAAACCCUAUUGACUUCAGUGGUCUUAGGAUUUCACUUGAGAUGCAUACCCUUAGAUCUGAGGGAUACAUUACCCUGGGUUGUGGUAACAAAGUAUGAUAUAGACUCUUUCCCUUCCCUUACUGGAGAAAUGAGAAUAAGUACGAGACAAAAGAAGGCGUGGAGAGAUAACAAUAUUGUAAUUAUGGUUGAUAUUUAAAUUGGAAUCCUUGAAACUGCAAUUCAAAGGAAAAGAGGAGAGAGAAGCAAUGGAUACAGUAAUUUAUUGCUUCCUAACACAUUGUAUGGUGAGUGUAUUUCCAGAUCUGAUCUUUGUCCUGACCUAUGGUUAAAGAAAGAAAAAUCACAUUAGUCGCUAAAGUAAAAUGGUCACAUUAUGAUUGCACAUUUAAUAUCACCUGGAAAUUAAAGCCUAUUAUUUCUGAAACAGGAUGUAUUGUUUUGGAGAGACCAGCUUUAAAAGCAUGUAAGAGCGACCUAGCCAAACAAACAGGACAGGUACAUAUGUAAUAGCAGAAGGUACUUCAUUAAGUCUGAGAGAGCUUUUGGAAGCCUCGUGUAGCUCACAAAUAAAUAAAAAUGCUCCCGUUCGAAAUGUAGACUAAGCAACGUCUUCAGUAUGGCUAAAAGAUUAAUUUAAGGAGGCUUUUAAAAAUGAAAUAUACAAACAGAAUGCUAUAAAACCCAAUAUAGAGUAACAUAGAUUUAUUAAAUAUAUGAUGUUUAUGAUUUUGACACAUUCCAAUGACAGUGAUAAGAUAGAAAAGGACAGAUCUAUGACACGCAGAGACUCUUUCAAAUAGGGAUAUAAAAGAUCUUGUAUAGAAGUCAGUUUUUCCCACCCUCCACUCCCCAAUACUGUGGUCAUGAUCCAAAUCCCAUGGACAUUAAUGGGAAUUUUCUCCAGAAUUCCUAAUGAGGCAGUUUUCGUGUUAUACCACGGAGAGAGAUGUAGCGCUAGAUUCACAAAGGUACUUAAGUGCAUAACCCCCAGUCUUAGGUGCCCAAGUCUUGUUUUUAGGCACCGCUGCGGUUCAUAAAACUCCUGCUCAGCUGCUGCUGGAGCCUGUAGGCACCUAAACCCCUUUGGUCCCUAGGUUUUUACAUUAAAAUUUCCCUAUGUGCUUACAUUUCUGCAUGUGCAUUGUGGCCUCACUCUGGGUGUCUGGACGCCUACCUCCUGCCUCAACCCAUGAACUGUGCCUCCCGCUAACUUGCUUGUGGGGCCCAAGUGGGUAGGGUGGGGGUGCUCACAGGCCACCUACCCAGAGGUGAAAGUAAACCGGCAUGGAGUGGUAUGGCGUACCAGUAAGAAAGUGGCCGCCGUUAGGGUCCGCUACAUGGCCGACUGUGCUUGCAGGGCCACUGAUGGGGCCAAAAGGGGGCCCAAAAGGGGCAGUUGCCCCAGGGCCUGAUGAUUUAAAAGGGCCCAGGGCUCCGGGCAGUGGCCAGAGCCCCAGGCCCUUUAAAUAGCCGCCGGAGCCCCGGGCACUGGAGGGCUAGCUGGGGGAGUCUGGCCCAGUCCUGCCCCACCCCUUGUGCCCGAAGCCCUGCCCCUUCCAGGGGCCCAGAGCCACCGCCCUACCCUAUCCAGGACCCUGGCCACCCUGCAUACUGGUAAGUCCUUUAAGUUACUUUCACACCUGGACCUACCUCCAUACAAAACAAAACAAUUGGAGAAGGGGUGGGAAGGAGAUGAAGGACCUCCUUCUAUACCUUUAGCCCAGUUAGGAUAUUCACCUGGGAUGUGAGAAACCCCUGGUCCUAGACUCCUUCCACAUGAUGAGGAGAAGGCAUUUGAAUAAGGGUCUGCCACCUCUCAGAUAAGUCCCUAAGCGUUGAGCUAUGGGAUAUUCUGAUGCAGAUCUCCCUCAAUCUGCCCUUUUGAGGCUGUUUCAUUGUAUAUAAAUAUGAAUUGGGUGGAGGUGGGAGACCAGGAUGACCCUCCCUUCCCUGCAACCCUCCUUCAUCCCCCAGCUUCUUGCCAGAUGUGCCUGAUGUGACUAACUCUAGGAGAGGGUUCACAAGCAGAGAGAGGUGCCUCCUUGCAGCCUGGGCUUAGCACCUGUCUCUGUGAGAGAGGUGGGCUUUGGACACACCCCUCUCAUGAGCAUCUCCCAUUGGAUCACGUAGGCAGCUCCCUGUCUAGUGUACUGCCUUGUGUGAAUUGCAGUCUAAGGUGUCUAUCUCUCCCCAUUCAUUGUAUAGGGAGCCUAGGUGCCUAACUCAAGCUUUGUGAAUUUUAGUGGUGUUCCUGUGAUUUUUGGGUCCCAUAUGAGGAGAGAUUAAAGAGGCUAGGACUCUUCAGCUUGGAAAAGAGGAGACUAAGGGGGGGAUAUGAUAGAGGUAUAUAAAAUCAUGAGUGAUGUGGAGAAAGUGGAUAAGGAAAAGUUAUUUACUUAUUCCCAUAAUACAAGAACUAGGGGUCACCAAAUGAAAUUAAUAGGCAGCAGGUUUAAAACAAAUACAAGGAAGUUCUUCUUCAUGCAGCGCACAGUCAACUUGUGGAACUCCUUACCUGAGGAGGUUGUGAAGGCUAGGACUAUAACAACGUUUAAAGGAGAACUGGAUAAAUUCAUGGUGGUUAAGUCCAUUAAUGGCUGUUAGCCAGGAUGGGUAAGGAAUGGUGUCCCUAGACUCUGUUGGUCAGAGGGUGGAGAUGGAUGGCAGGAGAGAGAUCACUUGAUCAUUGCCUGUUAGGUCCUCUCCCUCUGGGGCACCUGGCAUUGGCCACUGUCAGUAGACAGGAUACUGGGCUAGAUGGACCUUUGGUCUGACCCGGUACGGCCAUUCUUAUGUUCUUUCUAGGUAGCUAAAAGAUAGGUUCUUGAGAUAGCAAGUGCUCAGCCUGUUACAAGAGUGGUCUAUAAAAGAGAUGUCUCUCUAUAUAUGUAAAUAGUUAACCAACCAGAUGCCAGUCAAUUGUGCUCAAAGAUAUGCAGCAUUAUUUCUGGGUCUUGUAGGAUCAAUAAAAAUGUUGUGCACAGCAAUGGUUUCUGCAUGUGAAGCUCUUCAUGCAGCUCUCAAGACAGCUCAUGGACUGCCUGGAACUGACUCCUGUAGUGGCUAUGGUGCAGGUGUAGUACCCAGAUCCCCUGAGUGACGAGUUGGUGUCCAUCGUGAUCCACAGUAUUCUGUCCGAGAGGAAGGGAUAGAGCCAGAUCAGUGCAGCUCUUCCCACCUUUGCCAUGUCUCUUAGGUGACUCAUCAGUUCAUGAUUGUUGUCAAAUGCUACUGACAGAUUUGACAACGUGAAUGGUCAUCUCUGGACCACAUCGUCCUCUAACAUAGUCUGGCUUAUGCAAAUUGAAUCCACCAAGAACGUACUACAAGAAAAGGCUCAAAUGUCCCAGAAGCCAUUGCCGAUGUCAUAAUGUCCUACAAACAGUCAUGUAAAUUUGACUCAGAUUGUGAUCUAAGACAUCACGAACAUAAGAAUUUAAAGGAGUGUUUUCAGUGUUAUAAAUAUGCUUAAAAAUCCACAGGAUAACAAAAAUAGAAAACAGAUUUCUUUUCUUUUAAAAAGGCUUUAAUUCUUUUUUCUGUAGUUUGCAUGAGAAUGAGGAAAGACAAAGACUCUUCAUCACAGAUGUUUGACAAGGGAGCAAAAGUAUGAAAUUAAAUAAAAAAAUAAUGAAAAAAAUCAA